GACAGAGGGUGCAAACGUUGCUCGGAAUCACUGGGCGUAAAGGGCGUGUAGGCGGGUAGAUAAGUCGGGCGUGAAAUCCCUAGGCUCAACCUAGGAACUGCACUCGAAACUGUUUAUCUUGAGUGCCGGAGAGGAAAGCGGAAUUCCUGGUGUAGAGGUGAAAUGCGCAGAUAUCAGGAAGAACACCUAUGGCGAAGGCAGAUCUCUGGGCCGUAACUGACGCUGGAGGAGCGAAAGCGUGGGGAGCGAACAGG
rnacentral:rRNA from 1 species